rnacentral:rRNA from 1 species
UACGUAGGGCGCAAGCGUUGUCCGGAAUUAUUGGGAGUAAAGAGCGUGUAGGCGGCCAGGUAGGUCCGCUGUGAAAACUCGAGGCUCAACCUCGAGAUGUCGGCGGAAACCAUCUGGCUAGAGUCCGGAAGAGGAGAGUGGAAUUCCUGGUGUAGCGGUGAAAUGCGCAGAUAUCAGGAAGAACACCCGUGGCGAAGGCGGCUCUCUGGGACGGUACUGACGCUGAGACGCGAAAGCGUGGGGAGCGAACAGG